UUGGAAUUCCAUGGAAAUAAUUGUGCUACCAAAUAACAAAAAAAUGGAAGAGAUGAAAUUGAAAUUCCAUUUCCAUGUAAUUCCUACCAUCAAACACGGCCUAAAAUGCUUCUUCCCUAUUCCUUAAAAGACUACCCAUAAAAUACUACCCAUUCUUUAGUUCCUCCUUUUCACACUUGAUUUAUCAAAUUGGUUUAGCAAUAUUAAUGGUUUGGAUCUGGGAUUUACUGUUUUUGAAGCCCAAGUUCCAUUUGUACAAAUUUUUUCGCAUGUUUGUUUGUUUGUAUCACUUUUUCUCCCUCAUUUCUUCAAAGAAAGAAAGCAAACGCUAGCAGAGUCGAGCCAUUUCUGAUUCUUCCACUAGAAUCAUUGUUGGCUGUCUAUCUUUCGUUGUUUGUUGUCGAUUUUACAAGGUUUUUCUGUCGUUAUUAUGAUUCUUCGAAUAGAAACCUUAGCGGUGUACUCUCAUUUGAUUUUUUUCAGUUAUUACACAAGAAACCUUGGUUGUAGUCGAUCUUUCAAAACUUUUGGUAUUGUGCUGUGAUUUUUUUAUUCAUUUGUACCCUUUUGGAACUCAAGUCGUGCAAUUUUACUUUCGUCUCAAGAUUUUCAGGUCAGAUUUGAUACAGAAAGUGUUCCUUCGUGUGAAUGUUCCGAUGUUUAGGUAUUGUGUUCAAAGCUAUAUUCUUGUUGUGAAAAGAUCGUUUUCAUUUUCAAUCUUCGAGAAUUAUGCUGUUGUGCUACACACUGUAUUUUCUUUGUGAAAGAUUUUCAACAUGUAUGAAAAUUGUCAAGAAAUUUUUGCCAAUUGUGAAUCCGGUGUUGUUCCAAUAGCUAAAAAAAUUUGUGGGGCUCAAAUAACUAGGCAGUGGAUGGCGGUGGUGUUGCAAGCAAAAGAUGCACCGGAAUGGGCUUAUGGAGGAGAAUGAACUGUCAAGUUAAUCUGGUUCUUGUUUAUUCUGGAAAAUCUCAAGAUUUUUGAUGCAAUAUUGCUGGUUGUAAUUCCUGCUUCUCGGUCCCCAAAAGUUACCACAUGUAAAGUUAUUAAAAUUUCUAAGGAACUUGAUGGAGAUCCUUGCUCAAGAGAUCCAAAAUUGUAUGAAACUUGGGCUUCUCAAUCUCCUCUCUGGGUGUAUUAUAUCCUCCAACUGCUUGUGUUUUGUUUUCUGUUUAGUUAAUCCAUCUACAACAGAUUGAUUCUAUUUGUUAGCUUGCAGAAGAACUGCUUCUAGUAUGCUUUACGUAGUCCUUGUCCCUUCAGAAUAUAAUGUGUAAAAAGAAUCAUCUCUCUCCAUUAUUGUGCAUGGGAAUUGAGGUCUGCUGCCUUGUACUGUACUAGAGAAAUAGGCAAAUAUCUCCAAUAGUUGCAAAUCAUUAUCGUCGUUAAUAUGUGACAUAAAUACUGCAUUCUUCUUUAGCAGAAUCAAAGUGAACAACAGAUGCUAUUGCAUUUCAGUCUCACAUUUUCUGAUUUAAUUGAAAGUUAUUUUUCUUUCAGUACUUGUCAAGUAUCAAUAAUUCAUGAGGUUGGAUGAUAUUAUUGGGAUAAAAAGCACUCCAAGUGACUUUUAUUUGAUAUUUUCUACAACGA